AUGAAAAGGCCCAAGCUUGGGGAUGCUAUUUUUGAUGAAGAUGAUGUUUUUGAGAGUAUAUUUGCUGCAAUUAAUGUUUGUCCCAGGCUUGGGGAUGCUACGUUUAAUGAAGAUGAAAUUUUUAGUCUCUCAAGUUUUGAUAUGCAAAUUUAUAAUGAUGAUAGCAUGCCUCCUACUUAUGAUGAUUAUUGUGAUGAUACUUAUGCUAUAAAAAGUAGUGAUUAUAUUUAUAAAACUUUUCAUGAUUAUGAUUACCCCUUCUCUGAACAUUACUCUUUUAAUGUGGAAACAAUUUAUAGUAUUCGAGUUUCCUAUCAUGCUCCCACUAUUCCGAAUGAGAAGAAUUUUGCUUAUGUGGAGAGUAAUAAAAUUUCUAUGCUUGUAGAUCAUGAAAAGAAUGCUUUAGGUGCUGGUUAUAUUGUUGAAUUCAUUCACGAUGCUACUGAAAAUUAUUAUGAGGGAGGAACAUAUGCUUGUAGGAAUUGCAAUAAUAUCAAGUUUCCUCUAUGUGGUUAA
rnacentral:rRNA from 1 species